CCUACGGGUGGCUGCAGUGGGGAAUAUUGCACAAUGGGCGCAAGCCUGAUGCAGCCAUGCCGCGUGUGUGAAGAAGGCCUUCGGGUUGUAAAGCACUUUCAGCGGGGAGGAAGGCGGUGAGGUUAAUAACCUCAUCGAUUGACGUUACCCGCAGAAGAAGCACCGGCUAACUCCGUGCCAGCAGCCGCGGUAAUACGGAGGGUGCAAGCGUUAAUCGGAAUUACUGGGCGUAAAGCGCACGCAGGCGGUCUGUCAAGUCGGAUGUGAAAUCCCCGGGCUCAACCUGGGAACUGCAUUCGGAACUGGCAGGCUAGAGUCUUGUAGAGGGGGGUAGAAUUCCAGGUGUAGCGGUGAAAUGCGUAGAGAUCUGGAGGAAUACCGGUGGCGAAGGCGGCCCCCUGGACAAAGACUGACGCUCAGGUGCGAAAGCGUGGGGAGCAAACAGGAUUAGAUACCCGAGUAGUC
rnacentral:rRNA from 1 species